rnacentral:misc_RNA from 16 species
GCGGUGCUGAUUAGGGGUUGUUCUUACUCUCCCUUGCAAUUAUUUUGUACUUGUAGGGGUGCAUGUAGGCACGGUCCUUGUGAUGCGGUACGUGAUGGUGUGUGAGUGGUAUUUGGUUUGUGUGGUUGGCGGGCUCUUUGCUUGUGCAUUGGACCGUUCACCAACAUACCUUUUCAUUGUAUGCUGCAAGUGCACCAUUUUGCCUUGGGCGACGUGUGGUCCCUAUGUUGGAUUCCGAUUAACGGUAUUGUUGUUGUCCCUUUAAAGAGUGAUAUUCGCUCUACGUCCGUAAAAGGAGGUCGAGCGGACCAUGAAACUUGACUCGUUAUCCUCCUGUUUUGUGAAAACAAGCAUGAUAGGGUUGGAUUAUGAUCUCAAGUUGGGCCCUAGGAUACAGAAAGUUGUGUGGGAGUUGAUGUAAAAACGUCGCAAACCCAAAGCGUUGGUACGCUAAUGAUGGAUGACAUUCGAGUGUGUUGUGAUUCUUUCAUUCUAGAAAGGUUCAUGCUCGCCGAUGUCGACCAAGGAGUGCUACCUGGUUGAUCCUGCCAGUAGUCAUAUGCUUGUCUCAAAGAUUAAGCCAUGCAUGUGUAAGUAUGAAC